rnacentral:tRNA from 1 species
CUUAUAGGGGUGUGGGUAGCAUGUGAUUUUUUCGUGAUCGAGGUGGAGUAAGGUCUGCGGUG